ACACAUGCAGUCGAGGGGUAUAAAGAGCUUGCUCUUUAGAGACCGGCGCACGGGUGCGUAACGCGUAUGCAAUCUACCUUAUACAGGGGAAUAGCCCAGGGAAACUUGGAUUAAUGCCCCAUAGUCUAUAGAAGCGGCAUUGUUUUUAUAGUAAAGAUUUAUCGGUAUAAGAUGAGCAUGCGUACCAUUAGCUAGUUGGUGUGGUAACGGCACACCAAGGCUACGAUGGUUAGGGGCCCUGAGAGGGGGAUCCCCCACACUGGUACUGAGACACGGACCAGACUCMUACGGGAGGCAGCAGUGAGGAAUAUUGGACAAUGGGCGAGAGCCUGAUCCAGCCAUGCCGCGUGCAGGAAGACUGCCCUAUGGGUUGUAAACUGCUUUUUUACGGGAAGAAACACCCCCACGUGUGGGGGCUUGACGGUACCGUACGAAUAAGGAUCGGCUAACUCCGUGCCAGCAGCCGCGGUAAUACGGAGGAUCCAAGCGUUAUCCGGAAUCAUUGGGUUUAAAGGGUCCGUAGGCGGGCAGCUAAGUCAGUGGUGAAAUUCUGCAGCUCAACUGUAGAACUGCCAUUGAUACUGGUUGUCUUGAAUCGUUGUGAAGUGGCUAGAAUAUGUAGUGUAGCGGUGAAAUGCUUAGAUAUUACAUAGAAUACCGAUUGCGAAGGCAGGUCACUAACAACGUAUUGACGCUGAUGGACGAAAGCGUGGGGAGCGAACCAGGAUUAGAUACCCUGGUAGUACCACGCCGUAAACGAUGGAUACUAGCUGUCCCGGCACACCAUUGGUGUGCUGGGUGGGCCAAGCGAAAGUGAUAAGUAUCCCCACCCUGGGGAGUACGUUCGCAAGAAUGAAACUCAAAGGAAUUGACGGGGGCCCGCACAAGCGGUGGAGCAUGUGGUUUAAUUCGAUGAUACGCGAGGAACCUUACCAGGGCUUAAAUGUAGUCUGACAGAUUUGGAAACAGAUUUUUCUUCGGACAGAUUACAAGGUGCUGCAUGGUUGUYGUCAGCUCGUGCCGUGAGGUGUCAGGUUAAGUCCUAUAACGAGCGCAACCCCUGUUGUUAGUUGCCAGCGAGUCAUGUCGGGAACUYUAACAAGACUGCCAGUGCAAACUGUGAGGAAGGUGGGGAUGACGUCAAAUCAUCACGGCCCUUACGUCCUGGGCCACACACGUGCUACAAUGGCAGGUACAAUGGGCAGCCMCUGCGCAAGCAGGAGCGAAUCCACAAAACCUGUCUCAGUUCGGAUCGGGGUYUGCAACUYGACCCCGUGAAGCUGGAAUCGCUAGUAAUYGGAUAUCMGCCMUGAUCCGGUGAAUACGUUCCCGGGCCUUGUACACACCGCCCGUCMAGCCMUGGAAGCUGGAAGCACCUGAAGUCCGUCACCGCAAGGAGC
rnacentral:rRNA from 1 species